GUUAGUUUAGUUUAAUAAAAAUAUUGUGUUGUGGUCACAAAGGUGGCUGGUACUAACUAAUG
rnacentral:tRNA from 1 species